UUGUGGGGCAAUCUGUCUUUAAGUAGAAAUAAAUUAGUAAUAAUAACUCCAAGAUAGUUUUCCCUUAGUCAAGUGUCUUGU
rnacentral:pre_miRNA from 1 species